rnacentral:rRNA from 1 species
AUUGGAGGGCAAGUCUGGUGCCAGCAGCCGCGGUAAUUCCAGCUCCAAUAGCGUAUAUUAAAGUUGUUGCAGUUAAAAAGCUCGUAGUUGGAUUUCUGUUAAUAAUUUAUAUAUAAUAUUUGAUUAAUAUUUAUAUAAUAUUAACAUAAUUCAUAUUACUAAAUUUAUUAGUAUAUGAAAUUUUACUUUGAGAAAAUUAGAGUGCUUAAAGCAGGCAUAUGCCUUGAAUACUCCAGCAUGGAAUAAUAUUAAAGAUUUUUAUCUUUCUUAUUGGUUCUAAGAUAAAAAUAAUGAUUAAUAGGGACAGUUGGGGGCAUUUGUAUUUAACAGUCAGAGGUGAAAUUCUUAGAUUUGUUAAAGACAAACUAAUGCGAAAGCAUUUGCCAAGGAUGUUUUCAUUAAUCAAGAACGAAAGUUAGGGGAUCGAAGACGAUCAGAUACCGUCGUAGUCUUAACCAUAAACUAUGCCAACUAGAGAUUGGAGGUUGUUCCUUACUCCUUCAGCACCUUA